GAGUCCCGAGGCUCCUCCCUCCGCUUCCCCCUGCCGGCAGGGUGUCCCGUGCCUCCUUGGAAGACGGAAGCCGAGGAGGAGGGAGAGUCGGAGGAGCGGCGGCAGCGGGAUGGGUGACUCCAAAGUGAAGGUGGCGGUGCGGGUGCGUCCCAUGAACAGGAGAGAGUUUGAUCUGCAUACAAAAUGUGUGGUGGAUGUGGACACAAACAAGGUCAUUCUUCACCCUGUAAACACCAAACUUGCAAAGGGAGAUGCCAGGUCAACCCUACCCACUUGUUAAUCAUACAGGUGAUCACAAGGCUGAUUGAGGAUGACAAAGAGAACAAAGGCUCAAAAAAUAUCCAGACACGCAAUCACAAGUGACACUGUGACUUUAACCUAAAAGACAGAGAACCAAACAAGCUCACUCACCUCGAGAUUAGUACUCACACCUUGCUCAGAAGGGAGUUGUCCUUCUCUCCCUCUCAAACUUCUCUGUAUGCUAACAUGACCAAUAAUUGUAGUUAAAGAAGCUUUGUGCAUUCUUAUGGGGGUUCAUAGCUUUUUGGUGAGGAAGGACUGAAGUGUACACGUUGAAAUAUUGUAUAUAGUCUUCUAAAUAUUAUUCCAUACCUGCUGUGGAAAGGAAAGUGCCUAUGAUUGUAGGCUCAUUAAGGGAUAUUGAGUCAGAGAUGAAUUUCAUAUACACCUCUACCCCGUUAUAAUGCCACCCAAUAUAACACAAAUUUGGAUA